AUACGUAGGUGGCAAGCGUUGUCCGGAAUUAUUGGGCGUAAAGCGCAUGUAGGCGGUAAUUUAAGUCUGUCGUGAAACUGCGGGGCUCAGCCCCGUAUGGCGAUGGAAACUGGGUUACUUGAGUGCAGGAGAGGAAAGGGGAACUCCCAGUGUAGCGGUGAAAUGCGUAGAUAUUGGGAAGAACACCGGUGGCGAAGGCGCCUUGCUGGACUGGGGCUGACGCUGAGAUGCGAAAGCCAGGGUAGCGAACGGGAUUAGAUACCCCGGUAGGCCUGGCCGUAAACGAUGGGUACUAGGUGUGGGAGGUAUCGACCCCUUCCGUGCCGGAGUUAACGCAAUAAGUACCCCGCCUGGGGAGUACGGCCGCAAGGCUUAAACUCAAAUGAAUUGACGGGG
rnacentral:rRNA from 1 species